UGCUGUAAAAAAACAUGGUGAGAAGAAACCAGAUACAUGAGCACAAGCCGGUGGGUGACAAUGUCCGAGCCGCGCUCCCUCCCGCAGGCACAGUCCUUCCGGGGUCUGAGCCCGGGGGGACAGGGCUCUGGUCCCACUCGCGCCUGGCGAUCCCUGCAGAUGGUGAGGAGGCCGCAGGGCCAGGGUCUGGCCCCGGCUCUGCCUCUUACUACUGCUUUUGGCCAAAGUUCUGUUUUAGAAAAGUUUAAGGUUUACAGAAAAGUUGUGUUCCUGUACUCCUCAUAUCCAUUUCCAGAGCUAACGUGUCCCCCCGAGGAGUCGGCUGGCUCAUGUCCCCUGUAUGUGGGUUUCCUUGGUUUGUGCUAACGUCCGCUCACUGCCCCAGGUCCCACCCAGGAGGCCACGUCACAGUCACCGUCUCCCUGGCCUCGCCGGCUCCUCCCUCUCCAGCUGGAGUUCUGUCGGGCAUCCUGUUUGAUGCUGUUUGAUGCGUCCUCACGAUUAGACUGAGGUUACGAGUUCCGGGAGGAAGACUCCCGAGGUGAAAGGCUACCAAUGUGACUCGUCAACACGGCAGACGCCGACCGACCACCCAGCCGAGGGCGAGUCUGUGGGGCUUCUCCACUGUGGCCUCCCUGUUGGAAGGAACGCACUUGGCCCAGCCCCCACUGCAGGGGGACGGGGUCCCCUCCUUAAAGGGGCAUCUGCACACACUGCUGAAAUCCUUCUGUGUGACAGACACGCAAGACAGCUCAUUCCAGCUGGAAUGAUUAACGAAACAGGAAGGAGGGAGACCCACUAAUGACCGCACAUUCCCAGGCGGAAGGACUUUCAUAGCAGUGACUCAUCUCCCUGGCUGCCACUCGCUACCGGAGAAUGAAAUGUCUGCAAGCAUCUUCAUACCAAUUUUGCUUUGAAAUUGUAAAGCUUGCGUGCAACAUAAAACAUUUUAAAAGGAAUGUCUCAGAAAGCGUUCUCCACACAGAACUUGUGAGUUAUGAAAGCGAAGCUGCCCUGCUUUAAACCCUGGCGUUACUAACAAGGGGUAUGAAAGUUAGAAAAAGCUGCACUGAAGAGGUGCUCAUCUCUCAAAUGGGGUCUGUCCUCCUCAUGCCAGCUGCCAACCACGGGCGACUCCUACCUCUACCCGGGCUGCUCCACUGGUGGGGGGGCGGGGGGGAGGCUGUGCCCCUCAGGGGACUUGGGAAACGUCUGAUGCUCUGAAUCUAAUUCCUUGUAUUUACAAUCCUGACAGCAUGGCUUCCACUUGGCCUGUGGAGAGGCCCACAAGCUGCACCAGAGAAAAUUGAGCAGGUCAGCUACUAGCUCAGCGGCUAGACUCCAUGGUUUUAAGUUUACAUUUUACCCAUUCUGACUUCCAGUCUCCAAAUGAUUUCCUUACAUAUACAGGGUGUCCCCCCCCCCCCCCCACACACACAAAAUGUAUAGACACUUGGAAUAAUGAUUAAUUCCAAUGGGUUAAAUCGGAAAAGGAAGAACCAUGGAAUUAAUCAUUAUUCCAAGUGUAAGCAUUUUUCAGGGACACCCUGUGGUAGCCUUUCUCAUAAAUAAGGCUGAACCCCACUUCCCCUAUGGGGCGGUUUAUCGGCCAGUGUUUCCUUGGCCAGGAUAGAUUCUUUGCAGCUUAGUUAACUAUUUCCUUGGCACUUAAAGAGGACUAUUCUUUGAAACAACUCAUAGUGCAUGGGGUAUGGACAACCCAAUGUUUCCUUACAAAUAAUGCCCAUAUGCAAAGGGGACAUCUGUUACACGUUCAACAAUAAAGAUAAAUUUUUAAAAUU